rnacentral:rRNA from 1 species
UCGGUUGAUCCUGCCGGAGGUUACUGCUAUCGGUGUUCGCCUAAGCCAUGCGAGUCAUAUGUAGCAAUACAUGGCGUACUGCUCAGUAACACGUGGAUAACCUGCCCUUGGNUCCGGCAUAACCCCGGGAAACUGGGGAUAAUUCCGGAUAACGCAUUUAUGCUGGAAUGCUUUCUGCGUAAAAUGGAUUCGUCUGCCCAAGGAUGGGUCUGCGGCCUAUCAGGUAGUAGUGGGUGUAAUGUACCUACUAGCCUACGACGGGUACGGGUUGUGAGAGCAAGAGCCCGGAGAUGGAUUCUGAGACAUGAAUCCAGGCCCUACGGGGCGCAGCAGGCGCGAAAACUUUACAAUGCGGGAAACCGUGAUAAGGGGACACCGAGUGCCAGCGUCAUACGCUGGCUGUCCGGGUGUGUAAAAUACACCUGUUAGCAAGGGCCGGGCAAGACCGGUGCCAGCCGCCGCGGUAACACCGGCGGCCCGAGUGGUGAUCGUGAUUAUUGGGUCUAAAGGGUCCGUAGCCGGUUUGGUCAGUCCUCCGGGAAAUCUGACAGCUUAACUGUUAGGCUUUCGGAGGAUACUGCCAGACUUGGAACCGGGAGAGGUAAGAGGUACUACAGGGGUAGGAGUGAAAUCUUGUAAUCCCUGUGGGACCACCUGUGGCGAAGGCGUCUUACCAGAACGGGUUCGACGGUGAGGGACGAAAGCUGGGGGCACGAACCGGAUUAGAUACCCGGGUAGUCCCAGCCGUAAACGAUGCUCGCUAGGUGUCAGGCAUGGCGCGACCGUGUCUGGUGCCGCAGGGAAGCCGCGAAGCGAGCCACCUGGGAAGUACGGCCGCAAGGCUGAAACUUAAAGGAAUUGGCGGGG